UAUUUGCUGCUGAUUUAAAAUAUAUACACUUAUUUCCCCUAGAAAUAGUCUGCCUAUCAAAAUUCUUGAGAGAUUCUGUUUUAAAAGACACGGUAAAGUUUUAAGUGCGACAGAGUCCCUCCCUCAUUGCUGCUACCGUGCUUUAAAUGACUUUUAAAUACGAAAUGCAAGCAUAUUCUUUGUUUGGCUAUAUGACAAGCCAAGUGCGUGGCCAUGCAAGUUUCUGACAUGGACAUAUUUAUUUUUCUUCUGGAUAAUAUAAUCAUUUAACACAAUUCUCUGUUACCUAGACUGACUGUUUCACAGCACAUUCGUAUACUUUUACAGCAAAUCAUUUUGACUGACUGUUUCACAGCACAUUCGUAUACUUUUACAGCAAAUCAUUUUGACUGACUGUUUCACAGCAGAUUCGUAUACUUUUACAGCAAAUCAUUUUGACCGACUGUUUCACAGCACAUUCGUAUACUUUUACAGCAAAUCAUUUUGGAUGGAACAUGUGAGAAAUCCUUUUGACCUUUGUUACAUUGACCCAUUUAAAAGAUCACUAUUAAGCAAACUUUGACUGAGAGUUUUUUAAUGAUGCAUGUGUUACGAAUCAGUGCAGCGAACGAGUGUACUUAGCGAUCCUUCACAGAGAGGAAAUGAUUAACCGUACAAUAAGGUAACUUGUGACAUUUUCCUGUAAUAAUUUUUGAUACAUGUAAGAUAUGGGAGGACAUUUUGUUUAGUCACGAUAAUAACUAUCAGGACUUGUACUAUAAUUUUCACAUCAUUUUUCAAGAUAAACUAGGAUAGUGCAAAGUUAAUUUUCAUGCCCUCUAAGCAACCAGACGUUUGUCCCUACAUAAACAUUUAACUUAUGGUAGUAAAAAUAUAAAGAACUAGGUUAAACAUUAGUCAUCACUCUUAAUCAAACCGAAAAUUACUCAAAGUACUCAAAUUUCGUUAGUCUGGAUAUUAUGGUAGGGCCAAAUACGAAGUAAAAUAAGUCGUGACUUAUUUAAGACGCGACUUAAAUAAGACGCGAGCUGGUAUAAAUAGUUAGAUGAUUUUUUCGCUUAUUAUUUCCGUAUUUAAUGUUGUUGCCGCUCCACGUAUCGCUUUUUUUUGCUGCAAUUUAUCUCUUUAUGGUGUCAGCUUUGCUUACAUUUUCAGCAAUUCUGAUUUCUGACUUUUUCGGCCGUUUUUAAUUUAAUUAAGACGCGUCUAAAAUAUGAACAGGUAAAAUCUCUGUUCUUAUCUAAGUCGCGACUUACAUGGCACGGGUCUUACCUAACACGCGAACAAGCAUUUUGGUUCGUUUAUACGACGAGGUCGCAUCUUACUUAAGUCGCGUCUUAAUUAAAUAAGUCGACUCGUGACUUAUUUUUCCUCCUAUAAAUGGCC